rnacentral:rRNA from 1 species
UACGUAGGGUGCGAGCGUUGUCCGGAAUUACUGGGCGUAAAGAGCUCGUAGGCGGUUUGUCGCGUCGGGAGUGAAAUCCACUGGCUUAACUGGUGGCUUGCUUUCGAUACGGGCAGACUGGAGGUAUGCAGGGGAGAACGGAAUUCCCAGUGUAGCGGUGAAAUGCGUAGAUAUUGGGAGGAACACCAGUGGCGAAGGCGGCUCACUGGACCGGUACUGACGCUGAUGCGCGAAAGCGUGGGGAGCAAACGGG